GCUGGGCGUGGUGGCCUGUGCCUGUAGUCCCAGCUACUCGGGAGGCUGAGACAGGAGAAUCGCUUGAACCCGGGAGGCAGAGGUUGCAGUGAGCUGAGAUUGCACCACUGCAAUCCAGCCUGGGCAACAGAGUGAGAUCCUGUCUCAA
rnacentral:SRP_RNA from 1 species